UCUGCUAUAAAGAAGGCAUUGUAGGUACUAUGUCUUGUAUGUUUGCCUUUACUCACCCAAACUUGCCAACAAGGCUACUUUACAUAAAUGCAAGCGCAUUAGCAGUUAGUUGUGAAUCACAGGUGUUUGAUUUGGGAGACGAGGCAGAUAAGAUAUCUGUACUUUAAUUCAAGCAUGGUUUUCAGGUACUCUUUACACCUCAGGGGCCCGUUCUUCGUACGUCGUUUAUUACAUCUGAGAUCAAAUGACACAUCCAAGAUGAUAUCAUCGUGCUAAUCAUGAUCCGGCUAAUUGGGUUCUUCGAACACACCUGUUGUGUAUGAUUAGUAUCGCUGGAUUGAGUUAUCUGAGAUAAUUGCGCGUUCAUGUGUUGGCUUAAAAGGGGUAUGUAUCGAUAGUAGAAACAUUGAUCAGCAAUGCUGCUAUUGGCUGUUCAGCAUGGCCAAAGAACGUGCCCAAUUUUUCUCCCAAGCAGAACAAGAGCUUUUAAUGGAAGGUUAUGCCGAAUUUGAGUCGUUAAUUAAAACGACAGGGAACACCUCAAAGUCUGCAAAAGCCAGGAGAGAGGGCUGGCAAAAAGUAGCAGACAAAUUAAAUGCGUAAGUGCUGUCCAUAGUAGAUGUUUCUAUCAUUUUCUACAGUAUGUGUUUUUGCAUUUUAAUAAUUUAAUAUUUACUUUCUUUAAUGUCAGAGCCACCACUGGACCCACUAGAACAUGGGAACAAGUAAAAGUGAAAUACAAGAAUAUUCUACAAAAUGGUAGCCUUUCAUUCAUACUGUCUUUAUUUUAAAAAGCCACUUUUUUUUCCUUCUUUUUAAAAGCCACUGUUAAAUGAUGUGUUUGUCUAUUUAUAACAGCCACCAAGAAAAAGGCUGAAAAAAAAAAAAACAGGUGGUGGUCCUGCACCACCACAAUAUACCCCAGCAGAGGAGCUGGCCCUUGGAUUGAAUGAAAACCGAACCAUUGUGGAGGGCAUCCCUGGGGGCAGCUCUUCCUCAGACCCAAAGACAGGGACCAGUACCAGCAACACCUUCAUUACUGUUUUACAUAAUACACCAACACUUUUACCUGUUCCCAUGCAAGUGGUGGCUGAAGCAUAUGCAGACAGUGAAGAAACCCUCUCAGAAGACUGUCCUUUGGAGGAAGAACCUGUAAGUGCAUAAAUACCUUUACACUAAUUUGUAUAUAGCCUACUUGUGUACCUAUUCUUUCUGUCUGCAAUUUGAGUUGCAGGAGUCCACACCUAGAGAAAGGCCUACAGAAAGGCUUGCAGAAGAGUCUGCACAAAGAACUAAUACAGAGGUGGACAGUGUUGUACUUUUACUUUUUACUUUUGUUGCAUGAGGCAUGUUUUGACCUUUUUUUUCUUUUUUUUUCUUUUACAAAAUGACAGGGUGACAUCCGUUCCCUCUAUAAACAGCAUCUUCAACAAAAAAUUUAGUAUUUUGAGCUGAAAAAACGCAAAUUAAGAGGAGAAAUUGACCAAUACUACUAAGUCACCAAUACUACUAUCUCUAAUUGCAGGCAAAAGAUGACUUGCUGGCUUUUCUUUAUAAAGAAUUGUUUAAAUAAAACUCCGGGAACUAAGCAUAUUUGUCGUCUCUUAUUACACAUUCAAAAAUGGUGUUCCACAAUUCUGUCCCGUGCAGCUCUGCCACUAGGUUGGUCCAAGUGCACUGGCUGGAGGUCAUCAUCAGGCUGCACCCCCACCACAGGGAUCCUCUCCUUUCUGAUAGUGGCGAUGUUAUGCAAUAUGGCACAUGCAACAAUAAUGUCACAGGCCCUGUCAGGUGCAACCCUCAGACUUUUCAGACACUGAAAUCUUUCCUUUAGUUGCCCAAAGGUCAUUUCAAUGCGUGCCCUUGUCCUGGCUAGAGCUGCAUUGUAACGGGUUUGUGGUCCAGGGUUUGGGUCAGGGAAGGGCGUCAUAAAAUACUGCCUGCAGGCAUAGCCCCUGUAUAAUGGAAAAAUGCAGUUUUGUUAGGCUCAGCAUAAGUGUGUGUGUAAUACUGUGAGCUUGACAUUUAUGUUCCCUUACCACGUUCAAAUAAUGUGCAUAAAUGUGACUCUCUGAAAAUUCUUGAGUCAUGCACUGA